UACUUCUUUUUCUAUUUCAGUGAAUUCAGCAUUUAAGGAUUCUUAUUGUUGUAGAUUUGCUCCAGAUGUUUGAAGACAUGAGAGGAGUUCAAUAGAAACAAAGUUAUUACAUAUCUUUACAGUGAUGUGUUCAGAUUUCCAGUAAAAUAAUAUCACAGCUUGUUGAUGAACCUCAAUCUGGUAGAGAUAAUUUUAAAGCUCUUGUUCUGUUCACUGCAUAAAACAACUAAACUAUCAUUUAUUUCUGUGUCUUCCUUCAGAAAAUGAACCACUUCUGUCAAAAACAUCAUGGCACUCAGCAGCUCUAUUGGAAGCAUCCAAGCAUCAUGUGAAUGUUCAACUGGUGGACACAGGAAAUC